CCCAAAGACCCUCAUUACCAACCACUCACCUCGCAGAAACCCAGAUCAGUCAAACCUUCCCCUGUACUUCCUUCUGACACAAAUGGACCGUGUAGAAUAGAGCGCUUUGCAUGCCCAGACUCCCAGGGAAGGGUACAUUCAGGGCAUUUAGCAGACUUGUUCCUCCAAAGCGACUUAAAAAUGCCGUACGGCCCAAACACUAAGCCAACAGGCAACGGACGACCGGACCGGAGGGCUAGAAGUCCUCCGGCAGGUGGUCCCGGCGGAUCAGGGAGAACUCCCGGAUGAACACGGCCUCUCCGUCUCCGUUGGCCCGCACGCCGACCUGGGGAGGGAGGGGUCACAGGUCGUCAGCGGGCCUGUCUGUGAUUGGCUGCGGACGCCAGGCAGCACGUCACUCGCUGGCAGUGCGUGUGGAGAAGGAGUGUGCCUCCUUGUGAUGUGUGACCUCACCGCUACUGACCAAGGUCAAACCUGAC
ensembl:lncRNA